rnacentral:miRNA from 1 species
CUUGGAAGGCGAGGCAGCCUAGUCAUUGAGAGUGAGCCACUCUAAGACACACUUGCCCAGAGAUGGCUGAGGCAUGCCAGUCUACAUUGGCUGUGGUCCAGCCAGCCU